CAUUGGGGAUGAGGCUGUGAUUGGCAGAGAGCUGAGGACCCUGAGGGCCGAUGAGGGCUGAUGCUCGACAGCAGUUUCUCUUCUCCCAUCUGGAGCCAUCCCACCCUGCCUGGAUCACAGGAUGUCCGGUUUGAGGCAGUCACCCUCUUCCAAGUGACAGCCCUUCAAGUUCUGAAGCGGGAGUCGUGUUCCCCAGGGGGUUCAUCUCUUGAUAGCUACUCUGUGCCAGAUGGGGAAGCUGAGGCUAAGACGUGGUCCAAGGUUACACAGCAAGGAAAGGACAGCCUGGGGACACUGCCCAGCUUUCUGUAUUCUGCCGCUACACUCCGGCGCUAACCAGUUCCAGUUCCUUUCCCUGUGACUUCUAAUGACCGGUCAUAGAAGAAGACGUCCUUGUCGGGUCCGGAGAAAUUUCUGCCAUACUCCAUGUUGAUGACGAACAGCCCAUGCCUGGCCUGCCUUCCUG